GGGCAGGGGAGGGGUGUGGUCAGAGUAGGGGCAGGGCAAGGGAGGGUUGUGGUCAGAGUAGGGUCAGGGCAAGGGAGGGGUGUGGUCAGAGUAGGGGCAGGGCAAGGGAGGGGUGUGGUCAGAGUAGGGGCAGGGCAAGGGAGGGGUGUGGUCAGAGUAGGGGCAGGGCAAGGGAGGGGUGUGGUCAGAGUAGGGGCAGGGCAAGGGAGGGGUGUGGUCAGAGUAGGGGCAGGGGCAGGGCAAGGGAGAAUAGUGGUAAGAGUAGAGACAGGGGCAGGGAAGGGAGGGGUGUGGUCAGAGUAGGGACAGGGCAAGGGAGGUGUGUGGUCAGAGUAGGGGCAGGGCAAGGGAGGGUUGUCGUCAGAGUAGGGGCAGGGCAAGGGAGGGUUGUGGUCAGAGUAGGGGCAGGGCAAGGGAGGUGUGUGGUCAGAGUAAGGGCAGGGCAAGGGAGGUGUGUGGUCAGAGUAGGGGCAGGGCAAGGGAGGGGUGUGGUCAGAGUAGGGGCAGGGCAAGGGAGGGGUGUGGUCAGAGUAGGGGCAGGGCAAGGGAGGGGUGUGGUCAGAGUAGGGGCAGGGCAAGAGAGGGGUGUG
ensembl:lncRNA